GCAUAGCUCAGUGGUUAGAGCGUUGGUCUUGUAAACCAAAAGUGGCGAGUUCAAAUAUCGCGUUAUGUU